rnacentral:lncRNA from 1 species
UUUUAAAAUAAAUAAAUAAUAGUACAAAAACCUGGAGGAUUGCUAGAUUUGAUCCAAAAGAGUCAGCAAUGGUGUCUGUGGGCAGUGACCAUGAUGUGUGGCAUUGGCUUUCCGGCUGUAACAAAGUGGCAUUAUUUAAUUGCUUUGCAAAUGUGAGAUGAAGGCCAGAAGCGCUGGUGGAGGUCAGUCCACAUGUGUUCCAGAUCAGUCAUUAUUGUCAGACAUAAUGAACAGCAGGUUCUCGUGACAUAUUUAUAUAAGCUGAUUUGUAUUCACAUUUGAAGAGAGGAAAGUCCAUAAUGAGAUAAAGACAAGCUUAAGAUGCAAAAAAAAAAAAAAAAACGUUACUUAGCUGUUAGCUAAUAUUUCUUGACAGUGUGAGAUAUUUUUAUGCUGAUUUGGAAUUCUUAAUACAUAUUUGAUAUUUAAGAAUGUAUUUUCAUUUUAUCGGUAAAAUGAUUUGUUCAUUUGCAGUAGUCCCUUUGUGUAACCAUUUCAAUUGAAAGUUAUGGGGCCAUUCACUAUACCCCUGACUCUGAAUGUGUGUGUUGUCUCUCUCUCUCUCUCUCUCUCUCUCUCUCUCUCUCUCUCUCUCUCCACAUGAGGGCCUUAUUUGCAAAUUCCCAAAAGCCACAAAAACAAAAACAUUCACAAACUCUCACCACACCAUAUAAAAAGGCUAUGUUCUUCCUCCUCAAAGAAAAUGAGCAUAUCUUGCAGGUUAAUUACAUGGAGCCGUCUCUUCAAUUGUCAGAGGAGGAGCAUCACUUAACCUAAAUUACACCAAAACCCUAAAGAGAAAUUGUCUCAUCCAUGAAGACAAGUCCCCUCUCUCUCUCGCUCAUCUAUCUCUUCCCCCCGCCUAAGAUGUGCCGCCAUCUCAAUCCCAGCACACGUCUCAAUCAUGACGCUUACUUCAUUCACGUAGCCUACACCUCAGAGUCUGUUCUGCGAGACUAAUCGUCUAGAGUCAAAUCGUCCUUUUCCUACAUCAGAUGAUGACGGUUUACACAGAUUGCGUUCAAUUUUCCUCUUCAAACAACAGUUGUGUACACAGCUCAUUUGAACAUCAAGCAUUGGACCAUCUGGGCCACAUUACAAGCGCCAAAUAAUGACCAGUCCUUCAUUGCUCCUCUAUGUUGUGUUUCACUUAUAUCAGUGUUGAGCGGAUACAUAUUUCCAUGCGAUUAUAUUUUCAUGCAGCUGUUUAUACGUGUGGCUGUCUUCAUCUCAUUUGUCCCUAAACCAGAAAGAAAAGGCUCUAUUAAAAUUUUACACAUACAGAGACAGGGCUGCCG